GAGCAAACCCGCGACCCGAUGGACAAGAACCGGAUACGAGGCCUACCCGGCCGGACGAGCGGGCAGAUGACCGCGAAGUCCAUGGUCAUCAAGGACCGGGGUGGUAAAUCCGGCGGAUGUGCGGGGAAGGCGG
rnacentral:autocatalytically_spliced_intron from 1 species